rnacentral:ribozyme from 14 species
CGGAACAACCUGGAACAACUCGUGAGAAAAAUCAAAGGGUCAUAUAAGAAAAAUCUUAAAAAAAAAAAAAACUUUUGCAUUCUUCCUGCUAUUCUUCGCUUUCCUUUUUGCUUUUCUUUAUAUUUCUCUUUGAUUUCUCU